rnacentral:rRNA from 1 species
GAUGAACGCUGGCGGCGUGCCUAAUACAUGCAAGUCGAGCGAACGGACGAGAAGCUUGCUUCUCUGAUGUUAGCGGCGGACGGGUGAGUAACACGUGGAUAACCUACCUAUAAGACUGGGAUAACUUCGGGAAACCGGAGCUAAUACCGGAUAGUAUUUUGAACCGCAUGGUUCAAAAGUGAAAGACGGUCUUGCUGUCACUUAUAGAUGGAUCCGCGCUGCAUUAGCUAGUUGGUAAGGUAACGGCUUACCAAGGCAACGAUGCAUAGCCGACCUGAGAGGGUGAUCGGCCACACUGGAACUGAGACACGGUCCAGACUCUUACGGGAGGCAGCAGUAGGGAAUCUUCCGCAAUGGGCGAAAGACUGACGGAGCAACGCCGCGUGAGUGAUGAAGGUCUUCGGAUCGUAAAACUCUGUUAUUAGGGAAGAACAUAUGUGUAAGUAACUGUGCACAUCUUGACGGUACCUAAUCAGAAAGCCACGGCUAACUACGUG